UUGCAGCUGAUGCAGCUCCAAACCCCUGUGAACUUACCUAUGUUGCCUUGGCAGGUCGUGGUGUGUAGCGUGAUCGCUAUAAGGGAUCACCGCCUCGCACCACGCUGAAAGACCUGUCAAAGGACCCCUAAACUCUGUCUUACAACUGUAUCUCUGAGUCUAUUAUAUAAACAAGUUAAAACUUUCAACAACGGAUCUCUUGGCUCUGGCAUCGAUGAAGAACGCAGCGAAAUGCGAUAAGUAAUGUGAAUUGCAGAAUUCAGUGAAUCAUCGAAUCUUUGAACGCACAUUGCGCCUGAUAGUAUUCUGUCAGGCAUGCCUGUUCGAGCGUCAUUUCAACCCCCAAGCCCUAAUCUGCUUGACGUUGGGAGUUUACGGAGACGUAAUUCCUCAAAUAUAGUGGCGGAGCUAGGUCGUGCUCUAAGCGUAGUAACCACACUCUCGCUUCUGCAGCCGGCCUAGGUCUUGCCGUAAAACCCCUAUAUUUAUUUUUUACUGGUUGACCUCGGAUCAGGUAGGAAUACCCGCUGAACUUAAGCAUAUCAAUAAGCGGAGGAA
rnacentral:rRNA from 1 species